AUGAACGCUGGCGGCGUGCCUAAUACAUGCAAGUCGCGCGAACGGACGAGAAGCUUGCUUCUCUGAUGUUAGCGGCGGACGGGUGAGUAACACGUGGAUAACCUACCUAUAAGACUGGGAUAACUUCGGGAAACCGGAGCUAAUACCGGAUGAUAUUUUGAACCGCAUGGUUCAAAAGUGAAAGACGGUCUUGCUGUCACUUAUAGAUGGAUCCGCGCUGCAUUAGCUAGUUGGUAAGGUAACGGCUUACCAAGGCAACGAUGCAUAGCCGACCUGAGAGGGUGAUCGGCCACACUGGAACUGAGACACGGUCCAGACUCCUACGGGAGGCAGCAGUAGGGAAUCUUCCGCAAUGGGCGAAAGCCUGACGGAGCAACGCCGCGUGAGUGAUGAAGGUCUUCGGAUCGUAAAACUCUGUUAUUAGGGAAGAACAUAUGUGUAAGUAACUGUGCACAUCUUGACGGUACCUAAUCAGAAAGCCGCGGCUAACUACGUG
rnacentral:rRNA from 1 species